AUGCCGAAAGGAAAGAAGGCCAAGGAGAAGAAGGCAGCUCCAGCCCCUGCUGUCGUGAGGAAGCAGGAGACCAAGAAAGUGGCCAAUCCCGUGUUUGAGAAAAGACCAAAGAAUUUUGGCAUUGGACAGGACAUUCAACUGAAAAGAGACCUCCUCACCCACUUUGUGAAAUGGCCCCACUGUAUCAGGUUGCAGCGGCAGAGAUCCAUCCUUUAUAAGCGGCUGAAAAUGCCUCUUGCCAUUAACCAGUUCACCCAGGCCCUGGACCGCCUUUUGAGCUGCUAAAGCUGGCCCAGAAGUAUAAGCCAGAGACACAGCAAGAGAAGAAGAAGAGGCUGUUGGCCCAGGCUGAGAAGAGAGCUGCUGGCAAAGGGGACGUCCCCACUAAGAGACCACCUGUCCUUCGAGCAGGAGUUAACAUCGUCACUGCCUUGGUGGAGAACAAGAAAGCUCAGCUGGUGGUGAUUGCACACGACAUGGAUCUCAUUGAGCUGGAUGUCUUCCUGCCUGCCCUGUGUCGGAAAAUGGGAGUCCCUUACUGUAUUAUCAAGGGGAAGGCAAGACUGGGACGUCUAGUCCACAGGAAGACCUGCACCACCGUUGCCUUCACCCAGGUUAACUCGGAAGACAAAGGCGCUUUGGCUAAGCUGGUGGAAGCUAUCAGGACAAAGUACAGUGACAGAUAUGAUGAGAUCCGCCGUCACUGGGGAGGCAAUGUCCUGGGUCCCAAGUCUGUGGCUCGCAUCGCCAAGCCUCGAAAAAGCAAAGGCUAGAGAACUU